ensembl:snRNA U6 U6 spliceosomal RNA
GUGCUUGCUUCAGCAGCACAUAUACUGAAAAACUGGAACAAUAUAAAGAAGAUUAACGUGGCCCCUCCGCAAGCAUGACAAUGCAAAUUCGUGAAGUAUUCCAUACUUUU